rnacentral:misc_RNA from 1 species
ACAGAUUGAGCUCGGAAUCACGCCGGAGAGCAAAUUGUGAGCAACGUCCAGUUGCUCGAUGCUCGUCAGCCCACCGAUCGCGUCCGGCAGCGGCCCCACCAGCUGGUUGAAGCUAACAUCGAAGACAGUCAGGUUCUUCAGCCGGCCAACAGAGGCCGGAAUACAAGAUCUGAGUCCAUUGUUGAGGAAAAUAAUUUCGUCCAGCCUCGGCAUGUUGCCAAUGCUCGUCGGAACGCAGCCAUGGAAGCGGUUGUUAGCCAAGACGAUGACAGAGACCGGCGAGCUGCCUAGGUUGGCCGGUAUAUCGAAAACGAAGCGGUUAUUGUUGACAAAGAUGGCGUCGAGAUCCUUGUCGAAGAGAUCCUUCGGUACCGUGCCUUCGAACUCGUUGAAUCGGAUGUCGAGGAACUUCAGCGUCGGGAGGUGGAGGACGACGGAGGGGAAAGGACCAGCGAAGCGGUUGUUGCUGAUGUCAAGCUCGAAGAGGAGGUGCAGGCGGCGGAAGCUCCGGGGGACGGUGCCGCAGAAGCGGUUGGAGUUGAUAUGGAAGAGAGCGAGAUCGGUGAGGAGGCCGAGCUCCUCCGGGAGGAAGCCGGCGAUGUCGCCGUGGUUGAGGUCGAUGCCGGCGACGACGAGGAGGGAUCGGUUCCCCGGGAGCGGCGCGCAGAACACGCCUGUGUAGGAGCAGACGUUGGGGCCGAUCCAGUUUGCGGUCAGGUUGAACGGAUCAGAAAUGAUCGCCUGCUUCCAGGACUGGAGAGCAAUGUAGGCGGCGCGGAGGCGAGGGUUGGGAAAGACGAAGCCGACGGGGACGGAGAUACUAUCACCGUCGUCGGCAACGGAGAGGAGCUGGCGGCGGCGGAGGAAGC